rnacentral:tRNA from 1 species
GCGGGGUUAGCUCAGUUGGUAGAGCAACUCGUUUACACCGAGGGGGUCGGCGGUUCAAGUCCGUCACCCCGCA